CUCAGGACGAACGCUGGCGGCGUGCUUAACACAUGCAAGUCGAGCGGUAAGGCCUUUCGGGGUACACGAGCGGCGAACGGGUGAGUAACACGUGGGUGAUCUGCCCUGCACUCUGGGAUAAGCCUGGGAAACUGGGUCUAAUACCGGAUAUGACCUGCUCUCGCAUGGGGGUGGGUGGAAAGAUUUAUCGGUGCAGGAUGGGCCCGCGGCCUAUCAGCUUGUUGGUGGGGUAAUGGCCUACCAAGGCGACGACGGGUAGCCGACCUGAGAGGGUGACCGGCCACACUGGGACUGAGACACGGCCCAGACUCCUACGGGAGGCAGCAGUGGGGAAUAUUGCACAAUGGGCGAAAGCCUGAUGCAGCGACGCCGCGUGAGGGAUGAAGGCCUUCGGGUUGUAAACCUCUUUCAGCAGGGACGAAGCGCAAGUGACGGUACCUGCAGAAGAAGCACCGGCUAACUACGUGCCAGCAGCCGCGGUAAUACGUAGGGUGCGAGCGUUGUCCGGAAUUACUGGGCGUAAAGAGUUCGUAGGCGGUUUGUCGCGUCGUUUGUGAAAACCCGGGGCUCAACUUCGGGCUUGCAGGCGAUACGGGCAGACUUGAGUGUUUCAGGGGAGACUGGAAUUCCUGGUGUAGCGGUGAAAUGCGCAGAUAUCAGGAGGAACACCGGUGGCGAAGGCGGGUCUCUGGGAAACAACUGACGCUGAGGAACGAAAGCGUGGGUAGCAAACAGGAUUAGAUACCCUGGUAGUCCACGCCGUAAACGGUGGGCGCUAGGUGUGGGUUCCUUCCACGGAAUCUGUGCCGUAGCUAACGCAUUAAGCGCCCCGC
rnacentral:rRNA from 1 species